GUGGGCAAGGUCAUAGUGGUCACAGAGAUAGGGGGCAAGGUCAUAGUGGUAACAGAGAUAGGGGGCAAGGUCAUAGUGGUCACAGAGAUAGGGGGCAAGGUCAUAGUGGUCACAGAGAUAGGGGGCAAGGUCAUAGUGGUCACAGAGAUAGGGGGCAAGGUCAUAGUGGUCACAGAGAUAGGGGGCAAGGUCAUAGUGGUCACAGAGAUAGGGGGCAAGGUCAUAGUGGUCACAGAGAUAGGGGGCAAGGUCAUAGUGGUCACUCUUGACCAGUAAACAACACAUCAGCCAUGCUCUGAGAAUACAGAGUUUAUUGCACAUGUGUAAAGUAUCAUCCCAGAUUGAGGUUAGAUUAAGGG